CCUGCUUUCAAAUACAAGUCCCUGCUUCUAGACCACUAUUGCAAUACUAUUUUCGUGUCCUGGAAUUCCUCAUUCAAGUACUCCCAAGCCUGUGGUAAGAGUCGGUUAGCCUUUUCCCCUGCGGUCCACCUCUCUAACGCAUGCCUCCUGGUCUGAAGGGUGGACUGAUAGGGAUUUUCCAAAGGGGAUGUAGAGAUCCAGUUUGGAUAUGGGAGCUGAGCUGGCCAGACACAUGCAGGACCUACCUUUCCUGCAGGCAGUGCCCACAGAUAAGAAGCAGGUAGGCUGUGAGCAGGGGCCAGAUGGUGGGGCCUGGGACCAAAUUUGAUUCUUUCUGUGAUGCCAUAUUGUGUGUGUGAUUCUGAGACUUUUACACCCACACAGCUUUCUAGGUUAUUAUGAAGGUCUGCUUGCCACCAUAGCAAGAUAGAGUGUGUUUGUUUAAAAAACCUCAGCUUUCCUGCCAGCUUCUCUGUAUGUAGGUACAGGGUAUAUGAGCCCCUUGUUUGUAGUGUCUGUGGCAGGGCCACCUAACUGGCCUCUUAACACCAGGAUGAUUCAAGGCAAACAUUUGAUCCUCCAGCCAUGAGACCAGUGGGGAGAUAACUGUGGGCUUUUUUUUAUCUCCAAGAAUCCUUGAGCUGUGGACUGCUCUCAAUUAUUCAUUGUGUGUCACUGACAAAGGGAGCAAAAAGAAUGGCUACUUUGUAGGUUUGGGGGAUUUUUGUUGUUGUUGUUGCUGCUGCUACUGAUGCUGCUACAUUUUGUUUUGUUCUGUUCUGUUUUGUUUUAGAGGAGUUCGUGUAGUCCCUGUUGGCCUUGAACUCCCUGUGUUCAGGAUCUCGAACUUGUGCUCCUCCUGCCUCUACCUCAAUAGAAUGGUGGGAUUACAGAAGGCAUGCACCUGCCACCACAUCCACCUUUCAACCUGUAGGUUUGCCAAAUUCAAAAGAUUUCAUCAACACAAUCUUAACAGUCUGGAGGCUCUUGAUUAUAAACAUGGCUUCUUUCCACUGCAUGAACUCGCCAGUCCACCAGGCAGCUCUUCAAGUGCUUCUGAGAGGAUCUGUACAAGGCAGGACGAAAGUGGUCACAGUCACCACUGGUGUGCCACACCUUGUCUAAAAAGUCUGGUGGGUGUGUGGGUGUUUUGUCUGGUUUGUUUGUUUUGAGACAGAAUCUCAGAUUGGCCUUGAAUAAGUCCCCACAUCUCACUGGGUUUACAGGCAUGUGCCAACAGGCAUGGUUUAUGCAGUACCAUGGGUUCAACCCAGGACCUCGUGCAUACGAGGCAAGCACUCUACCAACUGAGCCACAUCCUCAGCCCAUAAUUCUUAGUUUAUAAUCCAAACAAUUUCACUCCUCUCCGAUUCCCAAAGAAUUUUAGCUGUUCCUGAAAGUCAAAUCUACACUUGUUUACUAUAAUCUUCCAAAGAUGACUGCAAUACAUCACCCCACCCCACAUUCCGAUUUCAGCCUGAACCCUAGAGCCUGCUCAG
rnacentral:lncRNA from 1 species